GACGAACGCUGGCGGCGUGCUUAACACAUGCAAGUCGUACGGUAAGGCCCUUUCGGGGUUACACGAGUGGCUUACGGGUGAGUAACACGUGAGUAACCUGCCUACAACUUUGGGAUAACGCUAGGAAACUGGUGCUAAUACUUGCUAUGUGCUCCUGCUUCAUGGUGGGGGUUGGAAAGCAACGGCGGAUGUGGUUGGUCCCGCGGCCUAUUGGCUUGUUGUUGGGGUAGUGGCCUACCACGGCGGCGACGGGUAGCCGGCCUGAGAGGGUGACCGGCCACAUUGGGACUGAGAUACGGCCCAGACUCCUACGGGAGGCAACAGUGGGAAAUAUUGCACAAUGGGCGCAAGCCUGAUGCAGCAACGCCGCGUGCGGGAUGACGGGCUUCGGGUUGUGAACCGGUUUCAGCAGGGACGAAGCUUUUUGUGACGGUACCUGCAGAAGAAGCACCGGCUAACUACGUG
rnacentral:rRNA from 1 species